rnacentral:rRNA from 1 species
UCCCUNAACGAGGAUCCAUUGGAGGGCAAGUCUGGUGCCANCAGCCGCGGUAAUUCCANCUCCNAUAGCAUAUAUNAAAGUUGUUGCAGUUAANAAGCUCGNAGUUGGAUUUCUGGUAUGAUGCGCCUGGCCCGCUUCGAUUUCGAAUGUGUGUGCUAGUGCGCGUCUGCCAUCCAUUUGCAGAACGUAUCUACCCUUCACUGGGCCGGAUAUGUGAUGCAAAUCUUUUACUUUGAAAAAAUUAGAGUGUUUAAAGCAGGCAUUUGCUAUGAAUACAUUAGCAUGGAAUAAUAACCUAGGACUUCGGUUCUAUUUUGUUGGUUUCUAGAUCUGGAGUAAUGAUUGAUAGGGAUAGUUGGGGGUGCUAGUAUUAAGGGGCCAGAGGUGAAAUUCUUGGAUUCUCUUAAGACUAACUUAUGCGAAAGCAUUCACCAAGGAUGUCUUCUUUAAUCAANAACGAAAGUUGGGGGAUCGAAGACGAUCAGAUACCGUCGUANUCUCAACCAUAAACUAUGCCAACUAGGGAUGAGUGAACGUUGCAUUUUCGACUUCAUUCGCACCUUAUGAGAAAUCAAAGUCUUUGGGUUCCNGGGGGAGUAUGGUCGCAAGGCUGAAACUUAAA